GGCUGUUAUCAAUCGAGCUAAACAGUGACAGUGACAGAACUUACACCCCGGACUUGUAAUAACAACCCCAGGGCACUUUGGGACUAUGUCACAAUGGCCCCCAUUCUAGUGAGACAGUGAUGUCACUGAAGUAAUUUCUGCAACAGAUGGGGGAAGAGGCCAGGCCACCGAGGGUCACAGGAGGUUUUUGAGCAGAUCAGAAGCCUGAUCAAAGGCUUGCUGUGGGAAGAUUGAUCUGGUGCCUGGACCCAGGCAGGAAAGCCCUGCUGGGAACCAUCCUGCCCCUCUGGACUCCUGUGGCUCUUUGUUUAUGCUCCUGGAGCAGUGUUGGUCUGCUGUUGCAGGCUGCUUGUUUAUUUAUUUACUCCUAUCCUACAACUUACUCCCUACUGCAGAGUCAUCAGGAUUUAAGAAGACUGUGAUUGGCUAUUUCAGAACCAUGUUCAGACAGCCGUAUCUUAAGCAUGUCCACUCGCUGGUAGGGCCGGAGCAUAGACAGUGUCAAUUCUGAAUCUUCAGGCCGACUGCGUGUUUGAGCUACACAGCAGGCAGGCAGAAGGACCCUACAUCCAGCCUCCACUGCCAAUUAGUUCAGAAUAUCCUAGCGCAUAAGGCAAAAUACCAGGGACUGGGGUGAGUGGACCUUAAUCUGUUAUGUACCAGGUGUGUGCAGGUGCACAGAGAGACCAGAAGAGGGCGCCAGGUCUUCUAGACCCUGAGAUACUGGCAAACAGUUGUGAACUGCUGACCUGCGAGCUGGGAACCCAAGUCAGGUCUCCCAAAGGAUCAUUAAGUGUUCUUUACUGCUCAGCCAUCUCUCCAGCAUGAAAUAUAUUUUUAAAAGGAUUCUGAUUAAUGAUAAUAUAUCUAUCCCUUAACUUUAAAAAGAAAAAGCAAUUAUUCUUAAUAAGCCAGGGCACACAUGCAUCAGAAAUUCCCUAAAGAUCUUGGAAUAGAAUAAUCUAAAAUAUAUUUAAACACCAGUAGGAUCAAUUUUCAGACUUGGGUGUCAUUCAAAUUGACUUUAUGUUAGCAUAUUUUUCUGUGUGAGAAAAAUUGUGUCAGAAAUAAAAAAAAAACCAUUUCUGUGUAAAUAUCCCAAAGGAAUAACCAUGUUAAUAAUUCUUAUAAAAUUGUGGUUAUAUGACAGACAAUUACUUUACACCAUUCAGGCUUUUUUAUCCCCACUGAGUAUUGUUUAAUACUUCGGUCCCAGGAAACUGCAACAGCCACAAAGGGCUAAUAAAACGACCGGUAUCAAAAUAUUUUAUGUAACAAUUUGUCCAUAUUCACAUAACCUGUCAUCUCUAUGGUUUGCCUAUUACACGAAUCAAAUGUGCGAUUCCUUAGUAUGAAUUUCCUAACACCAUUUACCUCCUCCCGAUAUGGCAGCUUUUAUUUUUAGGCAAAGAGUUGUGAGGCUAAUCUGAGGACACCCGGGGACCACCAAUAAACUGUCAGACUCCUAGCAAGUUAGAUUCCUUGUGAUUGGGUAGAGAGGUUUUUGUUUUGUUUUGUUUGCUUCCCCAUUAAUGACGGAUCCCUCCUUCCUCUUCAAAGUGUUGUUUUACAGUCAUAAUUUUAAAUGCUUGUAGCAUCUCUGAUUUUCCCCCUAAAAUCUACCUGGUUCCUGGGGGUAAGAUGUGGGUGAGC
rnacentral:sRNA from 1 species